UACGGAGGGUGCAAGCGUUAUCCGGAUUCACUGGGUUUAAAGGGUGCGUAGGUGGGCAGGUAAGUCCGUGGUGAAAUCUCUGAGCUUAACUCAGAAACUGCCGUGGAUACUAUUUGUCUUGAAUAUUGUGGAGGUGAGCGGAAUAUGUCAUGUAGGCGGAUGAAAUGCUUAGAUAUGACAUAGAACACCAAUUGCGAAGGCAGCUCACUACACAAUUAUUGACGCUGAGGCACGAAAGCGUGGGGAUCAAACAGG
rnacentral:rRNA from 1 species